AUUGAACGCUGGCGGUAUGCUUAACACAUGCAAGUCGAACGGUAACAGGAGAGAGCUUGCUCUUUUGCUGACGAGUGGCGGACGGGUGAGUAAUGCGUAGGAAUCUGCCUAGUAGUGGGGGACAACGUGUGGAAACGCACGCUAAUACCGCAUACGCCCUACGGGGGAAAGCGGGGGAUCUUCGGACCUCGCGCUAUUAGAUGAGCCUACGUUAGAUUAGCUGGUUGGUGGGGUAAAGGCCUACCAAGGCGACGAUCUAUAGCUGGUCUGAGAGGAUGAUCAGCCACACUGGGACUGAGACACGGCCCAG
rnacentral:rRNA from 1 species